GUUUUAGAAAUCUUCUAAUCUUCCAAUCUAUCAUCCAAUAAAUAGAUGAAAUCAAAACAGGGUGUAAGGUUUAUUACUGGAACUGGUCUGAAGUAAAAUCUCUAUUUGAGAUAUAAUACACUGUGCUGUGUUUAAGAUAACAUCACUCAGACUCAGACGUCAAAUAAUACCUUGCCUAUAUCACAGUCACGUGCAACAAUGAAAUGCAUAAUUAAAUACGGUGUAAUUAAAUGUAAGUAAAUAAUUUUAGUAAUUAAAAAAAGAGUUAUUGCAUCAGACAGUAAUGCAACGCACGUUUUGGUAGUGAACAGGUCUGAGAACACGCUCCUAAAAUGAUUUUUUAAUUAAAAAAAAAAAAUGAACAUACGUUUUUGUUUUUAUUUUAAAGAUAAUUUCUCAUGUACGGUCAAAUAAACGACAUAAUUAAAAAAUAAAUAAAUAAAUAAAUAAAUACACGUUUACGCAGGAUCUGAUUCAAGCCUGUGACGUCUCCAGAUUUAGAUGAUUGACGGGAUUGUUGGCCAAUGAAAAACGCUCUGACGCAGAGUGGGACGGACCGGACGCAAACUGCUCUGUGUUCGGUUGCAGAUUAUUUCAAUGAUCAGUGGAUUAUUUACAUCCGUUACCAGGCAGCGAAGCACGCAGGACGGUAAAACUCUGCCAAAAUAAAGACUGAAAAGCUGCUCCUUCAGCGGAUUGAUGUUGUUUGCACUGUUAAAACCUAGAAAGCCUUUGUUUUCAGUCCUGUUCAUUUGUUUUGUUUAUGUGCUGCCUCGAAAGACCGACAAUCUGCUGUUAUUAAGAGAUUUACUUUACUUUAACAGAACAUCGCAUGUGUUUAUAAACCAUGUCUGCUGUAGACGAUACAGUCUGUAAACUUCACUCAUUCACGAUUUUAUUACAGAAGCUGCUGUGAAGUCCUGACUUCUAAUCUGAUAUGAAUUUGGGAAGAUAUCGCAUAUAAAUAAUUAAUAGUAUUCAUGGCCACCAAAAUGUCAUCGCCCAGUGACGUGCGAGAGAAGAUCAGGAAGAAGAGGAGAGAACUGCAGGAGUCUUUAGGAAGAGUCAGAGAUGAUAAACAGGCUUUGGUUCCGUCAGACUGGGAUCUGUCUAAGGAGAAUGAACACACUGCGGUGGAGGAGCUUCCAGGUGGAGAAGAGGACCCUGGUGAGACACUCAGACGUUCAGUGAUGGCGAAGAGAAUGAAAAAGAAGAAGAAGCUGCUUAAGGAGAUGACGGUAGAGUCUCCUCCAGAUGAGGAGGAGGUGACAGCAGUGCAGGAGAUGAGAGAGGAGCAGGACAGAGGAGAUGAUGUAGAAAGCCCACCAGCGCGCUCACCGAGAGAUCUUCCUCCUCGGCCUGUGAUGAGGCCAGGAUCCAGCCAAUCAGAGACCACCAUGAGACUGCGCAUGACUGAGAAGCUGAGAGCAGCAAAGUCUAAAGCAGCAAGUCUUCUAGAGCAGGAAAGCAUCAUUGAGCCUGCCAGCCGUCUACAGAGUCUACGAGACAGAGACACCCUCACGAGAUUCGACAGAGACACGGAUCCAGAUCUACAGGCCGAUGAAGACUCAUCCUUUGCUGCCAGACUGAAGUUUCGUGAUGCAGCUAGACGUGCAGCAAAAGACAAAAGGGUAAGAAUCUGCUGUUUCUCCUGCGAGGCUGAGAAGCCCUCUCAAAGUGAUGAAAUGCUUAUAUAUUAUAAAAUGAUGCAUUCAGUAUAUUUGCGAUCUAAUUAA
rnacentral:lncRNA from 12 species